rnacentral:rRNA from 1 species
AGCGAACGUUAGCGGCGGGCCUAACACAUGCAAGUCGUACGAGAACGCUCCUUCGGGAGUUAUUAAAGUGGCGCACGGGUGAGUAACGCGUGGGUAACCCACCUUCGAAUCUGGGAUAACUCCGCGAAAGCGGUGCUAAUACCGGAUAAGACCACAGCCGUUUCGGCGGCAGAGGUAAAAGCUGACCUCUCCAUGGAAGUUAGCGUUCGAGGACGGGCCCGCGUCCUAUCAGCUUGUUGGUGGGGUAAAAGCCUACCAAGGCAGCGACGGGUAGCUGGUCUGAGAGGAUGAUCAGCCACACUGGAACUGGAACACGGUCCAGACUCCUACGGGAGGCAGCAGUGAGGAAUUUUGCGCAAUGGGGGAAACCCUGACGCAGCAACGCCGCGUGGGUGAAGAAGGCUUUCGGGUCGUAAAGCCCUGUCAGGUGGGAAGAACCGUUUCGAUACUAAUAAUGUCGAAGCCUGACGGUACCACCAGAGGAAGCACCGGCCAACUCCGUG